rnacentral:rRNA from 1 species
CUACGGGUCGCUCCAGUGGGGAAUAUUGGACAAUGGGGGAAACCCUGAUCCAGCGAUGCCGCGUGUGUGAAGAAGGCCUGCGGGUUGUAAAGCACUUUCGGUAGUGAGGAAAUGCAUCAAGUUAAUAGCUUGGUGAGUUGACGUUAGCUACAAAAGAAGCACCGGCAAACUCCGUGCCAGCAGCCGCGGUGAAUACGGAGGGUGCAAGCGUUAAUCGGAAUUACUGGGCGUAAAGCGCGCGUAGGCGGCUAGAUCAGUCGGGUGUGAAAGCCCCGGGCUUAACCUGGGAACUGCAUCCGAUACUGUCUAGCUUGAGUACAGGAGAGGAGAGUGGAAUUCCACAUGUAGCGGUGAAAUGCGUAGAUAUGUGGAGGAACACCAAUGGCGAAGGCAGCUCUCUGGCCUGAUACUGACGCUGAGGUGCGAAAGCGUGGGGAGCAAACAGGAUUAGAUACCCCCGUAGUC